GAGGCACUACGGUGCUGAAGUGAUAAAUGCCCUGCUUCCAGGAAAAGCCUCUAAGCAUCAGGUAACACGAAAUCGUACCCCAAACCGACACAGGUGGUCAGGUAGAGAAUACCAAGGCGCUUGAGAGAACUCGGGUGAAGGAACUAGGCAAAAUGGUGCCGUAACUUCGGGAGAAGGCACGCUGAUGUGUAGGUGAAGCCCCUGCGGGCGGAGCUGAAAUCAGUCGAAGAUACCAGCUGGCUGCAACUGUUUAUUAAAAACACAGCACUGUGCAAACACGAAAGUGGACGUAUACGGUGUGACGCCUGCCCGGUGCCGGA
rnacentral:rRNA from 1 species